GCAUUAGCAAAAACUUCCAAGCAAGUAACCAUACAAAAUAAUAACCAGGUAAUUCUAACUGGUUACAUCAAAUUGUUGUUAUUAAGCAAUGGCUUUUCUCUUCCUCUUUUUUUUUUUUUUUUUUUUUUUUUUUUUAAUCCCUGUGCCCCUGUGCCAGUUAAUUUAAAUGUAUCUGUUCAAGUGGAGAUAAUCCAUGCAAAUCAGAGGCACUGGCUCCCAGUGCUUGAUUCACAAAGAGAACUCAGCUUCAGGAGGUCACUCGUUCACAGCUGCUCCUCCCAUUAUAUUUUUCCCUUAUUGCAGAACUGCUGCAUGUAUACAGUGACUGAAAGGACUCAAUUUACUGCAACUGCUGCCUGGUUUUACUUACAACUUUCUUUAAAGGGGGAUUUACCUUCUAUCAGUCUUACUAAGGUGACGGCACUCUAGGGACAUCACUUCACCUGAAGCUGGGCACAAUGAGACCUAAUCUUGGGUAAGAGACCCUUAAGAGAUUGGAGGUCCUACUGUGACAGACUUAAUUUGGCUGCUGCUUCAUCACUGUUUCCUUUUAUUCAUUCCUUAAAGC
rnacentral:lncRNA from 1 species